UACGGGGGGAGCAAGCGUUGUUCGGAUUUACUGGGCGUAAAGGGCGCGUAGGCGGUCAGCACAAGUCGGGUGUGAAAUCUCGGAGCUUAACUCCGAAACUGCAUUCGAUACUGCCGUGCUUGAGGACUGGAGAGGAGACUGGAAUUUACGGUGUAGCGGUGAAAUGCGUAGAUAUCGUAAGGAAGACCAGUGGCGAAGGCGGGUCUCUGGACAGUUCCUGACGCUGAGGCACGAAGGCCAGGGGAGCAAACGGG
rnacentral:rRNA from 1 species